rnacentral:lncRNA from 1 species
GGAAAUUUGAAAAGAUUACACCACAGAAAGUGACGAGAAAUAAAGCUCUUAGUUAUAAGUAGCUUAGACUUUUGAGUUAUAUUAGCCGUUUAUAAUACACAAUUUUAGCAUUUGUAUAUCUAUUUAAAGCAGUCUUGCACUUUCUUCAGAUGCACCGGGUAAUUUCCUGUACUAUAUAAUUUGAUUAUAAUACAUGGAAACUACAAUGAGUUGUACUAAUUUACUUGUAGAGUGUUAUAUUGAUUAGAUAUGUCAAGGGGGCAACUAAGAAAAUAGAGAAUUUGUCUUUGUCCAACUAAAUUUUGCCUUCUUUCGAGUCUUGGUUGAUUUUUAUUCUGCAAUACCAUGGAACUUGUUUUGAUAAUUUUGUGAUAUUAGUCUUAUGCUGAGCAUGGGCAGAGUCAAAACUCGGAUUCAAUGAGAUGCGUCCUCUCAAAUCUCAUUUGUUUUCUCCU